UCCAGCCUCUGAAGGUGCUGUAGGAUGAUCCGCAGGCUCCUCAUCCUCUGGUGCAUCACCCUCUGGAGCAUCACCCUCUGGUGCAUAUAUCCCAGCUCCUGUACGCACCCACUACCCGUUCACCUUCUCAUAACCCAUGCGAAUAAGGGAUCGUGCAGUGUACGUGUCAGUAAAAAGUAGAUGCCUCGAGAUCUCUCCCUCUACUGAUAUGUCAUGCUGUCGGAAGAUCAGGGUGAGUAUCAUACCAUAAGGCAGGGAGACUCUCGAAUUGCAUAUGACCUUUCUCAUCUGCCUAAGUAUCAUAGCUGGGAGGUUCAGGGGAAUGCCCUGAAUAAUGUG
rnacentral:lncRNA from 1 species